rnacentral:tRNA from 10 species
GCCUUCUUAGCUCAGUUGGUAGAGCAGUGGACUCUUAAUCCAUGGGUCGCAGGUUCAAGCCCUGCAGGGGGCA